GGAGCUUGGCCAAGGGGUUCUGGGAUCUGCGGUGGAGGGUUCAUGAGAACCGCCAGAAAAGCGCCGGACGGCCCCCUCGGCGGGCCCAGGGCGCUUACUUCAUCUGGUACAGGUUGUUGGUACCGCGGUGGUCGAUGUCGUGGCACAGGCCGGCGGUCACCAUGGCCAACGCCUCCAGUACUUAGUAAGAUUUCUUUGGGAAGUGCUGGCCAGCUGCCCCUGUUCUGCGGGAGAACUGGGGGAAGAGGGUUCCCUCACUUGGGCCAUGGGGCGGCAGGCACUGCCUGAGGAGUGAAGGUGCAAGCAGGGCAGAGGCCACAAAGCCACGGGAGGCGGGAAGGCUGCUCCCUCCUCCUGGGACACCUCCGAGGGGCUCUGUGCUCAAACCCACAGCAUGCCCAUGCCUUCCCCGCGGCGGACUGGCUGCUGCGGCUGCCUCGCCGCCAUUCCGACUCCCGCAAUUGCCCUGUGAGGCCCGAUGAUCGCAUUGCCUAGAACUGUUUUUCAAACUCUCCACCCAUCCAGUCAUCCAUCCAGUCAUUUUUAUUCUAGGCAUAUUUGCUGCAUGUAUUUUGCCUGCCUGCAUUGUCCAUUCUGUAAUGAAAUGCCUGCCCACAAACUUCCUGCAGGACUUGGGGCCGCUAACCACAUCUCUCCUGCCUUAUGGGGAUCUGGGACCCUGGAAUGAGUCCCUAUCCCACCUCCUGGUGGGUCUGGGACCUGCAACCGCAACCACCCACCUCUUGGGGGAUCUGGAACUUGCGGACCACCCCCAGCUCAUAAUACAUCUGGAUGCCGCAUUUGACCAGUUCCAGCUCUGUGCACUCCAGGUCAGAGAAGUGGAACUCAUAGAUGUCAAACUUCUUGGGCCCCGGCAGCACUUCCUUCUGUGGAAGGGGUCAUGGGACUGAGAAACAGCCAACCAGCCCUUCACUUGCCCUGUCUCUUUCUCCUUCUCCCAACGACCCUCUAUCCAGCCCCAGAUGCUGCAGGUGUCCGGUGAUACCUGCCCUUCCAGUCCCUCUGGCCUGUAGCCUGGGACACCCACAUCCCCUGCUGGUUCAGCCAUCUUUCUCCCUUGCCCCCCACCCCCAGGCCCUUCCAGUACCACCUGGGGGGAGGAGCCAGCCUCUGACCAAGAUUUCCCCCAGCUCAUCCUCCUCACAGUCAGCAGGCUCCUUCCCCAGGUGCUCUUUGGUUGGCUAGGAGAGAAAACAGAUGUGAUAUGAGACAAGGUGACAGCGUCGGCUCCACCCUUCUGACUGUGGACAAGGUGACAGCAUCGGCUCCACGUCUUGGACUAUGGACAAGGUGACAAUGCUGGCUACAACCGUCUGACUGUAGGACAAGGUGACAGCAUCGGCUAUACCCCUCUGACUGUGGACAUGGUGACAGUGCCGUCUACACCCCUCUGACUAUGGACAAGGUGACAGCAUCGGCUCCACCCCUCUGACUGUGGACAUGGUGACAGUGUCAACUACACCUCUCUGUGAACAAGGUGACAGUGCUGGCUACACCCCUCUGACUGUGGACAAGGUGACAGCAUUGGCUCCACCCCUCUGACUGUAGACAAGGUGACAUCCGGCACAAAGGAAUAAUGACCCCUUGGGAAGCCCCAGCUGGAGCCUUCAGUCUCCGAGGUGUCGGCAUUCAGCACCGACCAGCCCAGGAACUGCGUGAGGGACUGCAGAGAGCGGUGUCACCCACCCAGGGCACUGUGCAUGCCAGGCCCUGCGCCCUGAGUGCAGGCCCCGGGCAUGCCACUCCACUGCAGCAAGUGCUAGCGGGGCCUCGGGUGCUCCCAGGAAUGGGCCCGCAGCCCUUCCUGUCCCCUCCCUGCCCAGGCCUCAUGCUGGGUCAGGGGAAAGCAGAUGGUGGGGAGGGAUCCCGAGUUGCUGUCUCCCAUACCUUCACACGGUGUCACCCUCAGAGCCACACCUGUGACAGGUGUUUACCUCCAUGAUGACUUCAUCCUGCUCAUCAAAGGGCUUCCCAUCUUUCCUGUUGUAAAACGUUGCAACCCCCACAAUCUCCUCUUUCUUGUUGACAAUGGGCAUGGAGAGGACAUUCUUGAUGACCCACCCAGAGUCAUCCAGAGGCUCUUCCUGCAGGGAGAGGCGUCCAGAGAUGACCCUGCUCUGGGUCUGGCCCAGGCUUGUCACCCAGUGAGUGUGAGCCUCAUUUCUUCCACUGGGUCGUUGCCCCGUCUGCUCACUCCCCCUGUGCGUACAGCUUUCUGUGGGUUUGUGUUGUGUCUUCUCUCAUAGAGAAUAGGGUGUUUUCCCACCAAGGUGGCCUCAGGGUCCUGCUCUUAAGACAGCUUGGCUGAAUGCUUCACCAUGCGUUUUGAAGCUCUUAGUGAUUGUGAACAGGGGCCUCACAUUCCUAACCUACCAGGCUCUACAAACUACGCAACUGAUGCCCAGCCUGUGAAAUAUGGACACCGUCCAGUUCCUGGUGGAGCCCUGUGAACACAAAGCCCCCGCCAGUCAGCCUGGCCUCAGCCUCCUCCAGAAAGAAGCGGCUCUGGUGACGUGUCCCCAGAUGAAAGAGCAAGGACCAGACCUGCAGCCCUGGGCCCAGCCAGCCUGCGGACUCGGACACAUGGAAUGCACGUUUCUUGUUAUUAGCUACUGAGAUUUUGAGGUUGUUUCUCAAGCAGCAAAAAUCAAUUCAGUCCCUCGUUUCU